rnacentral:rRNA from 1 species
AACGAACGCUGGCGGCAGGCCUAACACAUGCAAGUCGAGCGCCCUUUCGGGGGAGCGGCGGACGGGUGAGUAACGCGUGGGAAUAUGCCCUUCUCUACGGAAUAGCCUCGGGAAACUGAGAGUAAUACCGUAUACGCCCUGUGGGGGAAAGAUUUAUCGGGGAAGGAUUAGCCCGCGUUGGAUUAGGUAGUUGGUGGGGUAAUGGCCUACCAAGCCGACGAUCCAUAGCUGGUUUGAGAGGAUGAUCAGCCACACUGGGACUGAGACACGGCCCAGACUCCUACGGGAGGCGGCAGUGGGGAAUCUUAGACAAUGGGGGCAACCCUGAUCUAGCCAUGCCGCGUGAGUGAUGAAGGCCUUAGGGUUGUAAAGCUCUUUCAGCUGGGAAGAUAAUGACGGUACCAGCAGAAGAAGCCCCGGCUAACUCCGUG